CGGUACCGCGGGGUCGUUGCCUAGGUGAUCAGGACUGGCGCCCGCGCGUCGCUGCUCACGCGACGCAAACUACAUUACCCAGAAAGCCCCUCACCGAGCGUCCGCUCGGGGUAUCCCGGUGAGCGCCCGGGAGAGGGGCGUUUCCGAGCGCCCCGGCUGGACUCUGGCCAAUGAGGGGCUAAGGGAGGGGCGCUUCCGGGACGGCCGCUGCCCUUUGGUCGCCACUUCCGGUAUCCGGCCAUUUCUUUGGCAGUUUGCCGUUUUAUCCGAAGUGGCCGAGGGACCUUGCUGCCAGCCCGUGGACUGUGUCCAGGAGGCUCCGCGGGCCUGUGGGCGUGAUGAGUGAGCGGACCGACUAGUCACGGCAGAAGAAUCGUAUCCUGGGCCCCACCGACUGGACUCUGAGUCCCAGCGUCCCAGGUCCCCGACUGAGCUCCAGCCUCGAUGUUCAGGACAAUGGAGCGUUCGCAGGUGCCGAGUCUUCAUUCCAGAAUCCAGUAUGUUAAGAUGUAGAGGGUACAGGCAGAGGGAGCUGCAUGUGCAAAGACCCAGAGAUUUUAUUUAUUUGACAGAGAGAGACACAGCGAGAGACAGAAGACAAGCAGGGGGAGAGGGAGAAGCAGGCUUCCCGCGGAGAAGGAGCCCGACGUGGGGCUCCAUCCCAGGACCCUGGGAUCAUGACCCGAGCCGAAGGCAGACGCCCAGGGACUGAGCCACCCAGGUGCCCCACUCCAACUUUGUUCUUUUUCAGGUUUGUUUUGGCUGUUUGGGUCCCUUUGCAGUUUCAUAUGAAUUUGAGGACCAGCUUUUUUCAUUUCUGCAGAAGAAGGCUGUUGGAAUUUUCAUGAGGAUUGCAUUGAAUCUGUAGUUUUGGGUAGCAUUGACAUUUUAACAACAUUAAGUCUACCUAUCCAUUAACAUGGGAUGACUUUCCACUUAUUUAUUUUUUUAAAUUUUAUUUAUUUAUUUUAUUUUAUUUUUAAUUUCUCUCAGUAAUGUUUUCUAGUUUUCAGUGUACACGUAUUUCAUCUCUUUGCUUCAAUGUAUUCUUUUUUUUUUUUUUAAAGAUUUUAUUUAUUUAUUUGAGAGAGAGAAUGAGAUAGAGGGAGCAUGAGAGGGGGGAGGGGCAGAGGGAGAAGCAGACUCCCCGCUGAGCAGGGAGCCCGAUGCGGGACUCAAUCCCAGGACUCUGGGAUCAUGACCUGAGCAGUCGCUUAACCAACUGAGCCACCCAGGCGCCCGCUUCAGUGUAUUCUUAUAGCUAUUUUAUUCUUUUAGAUGUUAUUGUAAAUAUAGCUUUCUUAAUUUCCUUUUCAGAUUGUACAUUGCUGGUAUAUAGGAGAACACACAGAUUUUUAUGUGUUGAUCCUGUACCCUACAACUUUGCUAAAUUUGUUUAUUAGCUCCAGUAGCUUUCUUAUGGAUUCUUUGGGAUUUUCACAUCAUUUGUGUAUAGAGAUAGUUUUACUUCCUCCUUUCCAAUCAGGAUGCCUUUUAUUUCUGUUUCUUACCUGAUUUCUCUGGCAAGAACUUGCAGUACAACAUCAAAUAGCAGUGAUGAAAGUGAGCAUCCUUGCCUCAUUCCUUAUCUUAGUGGGUAAGCUUUCUGUCUUUCACCAUUAAGUAUAAUGUUAGCUACAGAUUUUUCACAGAUGCCCUUUAUCAUGUUGAAGAAAUUUCCUUAUAUUGCUAGUUCUCUGAGAGUUUUUGUCAUGAAAAGGUGUUGGAUUUCCUUUGACCUUCUUGCUUCUCUCUUAUAAGAAUGCUUGUGAUUCCAUUUAGAGCCCACCUGAAUAGUCCACAAUAAUAUCCCCAUUCUCAGAUCCUUAAUCUAAUCACAUCUGUAACAUCUUUUUUUGUGUGUGUGACAUCUCUCUUGCCAAAUAAAGUAACAUACUCACAGAUUCAGGGAUUCAGUUGUGAGCAUUUUGAAAAGGCGGGAGGGGGCGGGGGAGGGCUUGAUUAUGCUGACCAGGAAGGAGAAGCUGAAUUGAAGGACCUGAAAGCAACAGUGGGAAAGUAGAAUGGGUCAGAUGUGGAGGCUCGGCUCGAGGAGGGUGGGAGACAGCUAAUGCUCAGGAGUCAUAUGAGAGGCAGUUUGGGUCUAGAAGAUGGUAGGAAUGAGACACAGCUUUGGACUUAGAGGCACUGGUCAAGCACCAGCCUAACCCAGCCCCGAAGUCAUUCCCAUACCUAGCUCACACUCUGUAUGCCUGCAGGAACCUGCCAUGGUGGAGUCAUAUCAACCCAGGUGAGCAGCUAGGGCUCCUUGCAAUGUUCCAGCUGGAUGACCACACAGGAGUCCAGUACCCCUACUGGAGUUCCACAACAGGUCACAGGGCAAGCACGACAGAUGUGACUGGAAAUAAAAUGGAACCUCACAAGAUAAAACAUCCAAGAAAAGUUUUGCAAAAAUAACAUUAUACAUUAAACAAUGACCAUAAAAGUGUGGAGUGCUUGGCAAGGAACACUCUCUGGAACCUCCUACUGGAGUCAGGGGAGUAAAACCCAGAUGCAGAAGGGCCUUGGUCCCAAUGGGCUCAAGAGGCAGACCCACUGGACAGAAUUGGAAAGACAUUUACCAACAAGAUUAUGGUCAGCAAGCGAAGCCUGGUGCCCAGCCCCAAGUCCAAAAACACCCCCACAGGGAACCCAAGAAUGUCCUUAGAGUCACAUCAUGGACCAGGCCCCUCUGGCCCCUCAAGGACCCCUACUCCUCCUGAGAGAAGCCACAGCAAUGUCAUCAAAGGUCACCAAACCCUGCAACAACGGCAUGUGGGCAGUUGACUAUGGUGUAAGUUCUGGGUGUGUGAUCCAGGCCUCUAGUUCUUGUCUUAACAGCCACCUCCCUGAUACUCCCCCUGGAAUCUCUCCCCAAUACACUCAAUGAAUUCCCCCAGGACUCCACAUCUGAGACACACUAGGGCUUGAUCCCAUGCUGGGCCUCCUAUGCUGGCCCUAAUAGGUUUUGGACAGUCUUUCUAUCAAAUCCUGGGGCCCUGCCUCAUCUGUUCCAAUGUUUUGUUUUUUUUUUUCCCCCAGGCUUCUUAGAGAUCCCUCUGCACAUAGCAGCCACAGGGAUUGUAGGCAAAAGGCAAUUGGUAUCCGCAAAUCUAUGUGAAGCCAAGCCUCCUUCCAACUGCAUCUGUGAUCAUUACCCUUAAUCUCCAUUCUGGGCCCAACUUCACUUAGCUUUCCAGUCCUAACCUCAGUGUCCCUUCCCUCCAUCCAGUGGUCAUCUGUAACCAAGGCCCUUAGAUCCUACUUCCUAAAUCUGGUCCCCAGGCCUUACCCUGGCCCAAGCCCUCAGCCCAUCACUCCUUGGACACUUCCAGCCAGACCUUUCUCAAGAACACCAGAUCCGGGGCACCUGGGUGGCUCAGUUGUUAAGCGUCUGCCUUUGGCUCAGGUCAUGAUCCCAGGGUCCUGGGAUCGAGCCCCGCGUCAAGGUCCCUGCUCCACGGGAAGCCUGCUUCUCCCUCUCCCACUCCCCCGCUUGUGUUCCUGCUCUCGCUGUGUCUCUCUCUGUCAAAUAAAUGAAUGAAAUCUUAAAAAAAAAGAAAGAACACCAGAUCUCUGAGUCUUGCCCACAACACCUUUCCACUCAGAUGUCUCCAGGCAACUCAGACACAAUCCCAACUCCUGCUUUUCCUUUGGGACCUGCUCCUCUUUCCCCUUUCCCAUUUCUCUGGAAGGCAGUUCCAUUCUUUCAACUGCUCAGGCUAAAAACCUGGAGUCCUUCUGGACCUCUCAUCUCUUUCUCACCCCUCUUUGAUCCAUCAGCAAAUCCAGAUGGCUCUGCCUGCAGAAGAGAUCCAGAAUCUGACUACUUCUCCUACAUCUUUUGCCACCACCACCCUAGUCCAUGCUGCCACCAUCGCUUGCCUCCAUAAUUGCAAGUGCCUCCUUCCUCUGUCCUCACCCACCUCCACCUUCAUCUGGUCCCCCAUCACUUCUGCACAUGGAAACUAAAGGUAUACUGCUCAAAUUAGAUCAGGUCCCUCCUCUGUUCACAGAUCUUCUCAGCUUCUGGGGCCCUCAGAAUAAAGGCCUAGCAUGAAACCUCCCCUGGAGCUUUCUGGUCCCACCAGAAGUAAUGGGCUUCAAGUUUCCCUAAUGCCUUCCUGUCUGGAUGGCCUCCAAGGCUUUGCACAUGCAGGUCCCUCUGCCUGGAACAACUUCCAUGCUUCAUUCCAAGACCGCUAAAAAUGGGGUGCGCACACCCACUGUCCCAGCCUGGAGGGGAAAAGAUGACCCCGGGCAGGACGCCCUCAGUUUCGCUUUUAGGACACUGGGGCUUGGAAUCCCGUUAGGCGGAGCUUGGGAGACCUUCCCUUACCCAUGCCAAGUCCACCAGCGCUGUCUCGGACGGGGACCCGGCGCAAUGGGCCCAGUCUGGCCUAGGGCCCAGUCUGGCCUAGGGCCUGGUCCUUUCUGACAAUGCCGCUGGCGAGCCUCAGACGGGCCUUAGGUCAACCUACCCGCCGGACCUCAAUUCCCGACAUCCCUCGCGGUGCCGCUUGGUCUUUGUCACGGUGACACGGCACCUCGGUCCCCGCGGAAAUAGGAUUUGCGGUGUGAACCACACUACCCAGGAGACGCUGCGCUGCGCGGGGCAUAUCCGCGCGCGCCGCGCCGGGCAAGGGCGGAACUUCCGGCGUCGCCCUGAGGUUUUUCUCUUGACUGGCUGUGCGCGGGUUCGAAGGCCCUGAAACCCGGGUUGGGGACGCGUUCUGGAAGCUGCAGGGCGUCAGCCUCCAGGGCUCGAGGUGCUCGAAGUGUGGAAGGUGGGGACGGCUCUUUUCUGGGCCUCUGCGCCUGCGGGCGCGGCCUACGAGCUACCAUCCCCAACUCCUCGAGCCUCGUUUUCUCGGAAAUAGAACGGACCGCCGUCGGGGAUGUCCGCCGGGACUUCCGCUAGAGCCCGUCCAACCCGGUGACCUGACCAGGAGAGGCGCCUUGGGCGUGUUUCCACCAUACUGAGCGGGAGACCGGGGCUCGGAGGGCUGGCUGCCCGCAGCGGUCCGUUCCUAACGGGCGCGCCGCCGCUUCUCCUCGGACCCUAGCGGGUUACCAUGGGAACAGCGGCGCCACCGGAAGUCUUUGGAGAGUGAAGGGUCCUGCUUACAGAAGCCGGGCGGUACCCCUGGCCCCAAGCUCCUGGAGCCCCGACGUUAGUGACACUGAGAUCAGCUGUCUCCCUCACUGCAAGGCCUGGUGACCCAAGGAUGUGGCCAUGUACCUCUCAGGAGGAGUGGAGACUCUUCACUGGCCCAGAGGAUCCUGUACCAGGACGUGAUGUUGGAUGACUUCAUGUUCACAGCCUUACUGAGUGAAUCUCCUGCCUCUCUUUACGUGUUCUUUUUCAGAGUUGUGGGCACUCACUUGUGCUCUCCCUGAGCCACUGCACCUUUGCUGCCCCAGGUUUGUGGUGGCUUGGAAAGAAAGGUCAAGGUUCUCUCCAUCUUUCCAACAAGCCAUUGGGUUUGGCUCCAUAACAGAGUCUCUCUGUGCCAUGGAUUCUGCUUUCUUUCUCCAGCAGAUACUUCCUUAGAAUUGCCACUGCCAGUCUCUGGGGGUCCUGUUGUCAUUGCUUGCAAGGGAUAGAUCGAACAAAGGGCCAGGGGCAGCCCCUGGCUAUUCCUGAAAAACCCCUCUCAAAGUUUCAUUUUGUGACAUCCUUCCUGCUUCCUCCUCACUAAUGAUAAAGAUGAAGCCAGCUUCUUGACUUCCGCAGAAAGGUCAACAGUCAGGGCAGGCCCCUUUACCUGCCCUGUCCUCCACAGGACUCGUGGCCACUCCAUCCCACAACGUCAUUUUGUCAGAGCAUGACAUGGAGUCCUGGAUAUCUAGCUGGGAAGAUGCAAUUCUAGCCAUUACAACAGAGUCCCAGAACAGGUGGGCCUUGCUGAGUGAAAUUCAGGUAUGGGCUGAGGCCUGGUCUAGGUUGAAUUGUGGCUGGCCAUGGUCCUGUACCACAUCACUGUCCUGUUGCCAAAGUCAUUGUCCCAACCUCAGUCCAACUUCUUACACCUUUUGGAACAUUCCGUCCUCUUGCCUUCUCUUCCUGAUGUCUAGUUCCUACCUCUCCUUCCUCAAGAUUCAUUUUGUAACUACUCUCCCUAUGCUGGGUCCUCCAGUGUUAGCUUCUAUUUAGCUGUUAGGAUAUGUUCAUGUAUUGGUAAAUAAUCCUUGGAAGCCUAAUCCUAAGAAGUGACUGGAUGUUACAUCCGUGUCUGGGCUCUUUCUGUGCAGCAUUUGCCUGUCCCAGCAUCCCUGCUGCAUUGUGUUUGCAGAGGGUGAGCAGCAGAUCCUGCCAGCCACAUUGAAUCUUUGACCCUGUUGAGAUAUUUUGCACUGGUCUGGCCAGAGCCUGUACCAACAGAACUUGCUCUUUUCCCCCCUGAUCCUGGCCCCCACUUAAUGAUGGAUCCAUCCUCACCCACGUACCAUGACCUACAGAAAGGGCAUUUCCCUAUUUUCAGGUAAUUCAUGUGGAAGGGAAGAUAAGGAGGCACUGUUGGAAUAAGAUGUUUCUAGAAAAAUCGUAUCACAGGUCUGGACUCCCAGUGCUGGUCCUUCUAGCCAGAAGGUCCACCACCCCUAUAACCCAGGUGGUUAAGUCUUCAGAGACUUUGUCCCUGGAGAAGCAUGGAAAUAGACCUGGGCAGAAACUGCACACGUGUGGGGCAUGCAGGAGAGAAUUCUGGUUCCACUUAAACCUUCAACUGAAACAGUUGACUUCAGUAUGGAGAGAAACCUCCCACCUGUGAUGAGCGCAUACUACAGAAAAGCUGUGCACAUGUAAGGAUGUCCUAGACAGCCAUGACCUAACACCCACCCACCCGCAGUAAUAGGAAGCCGUUAAGGAGCACCAAGCUCAGGAAGGCCUUCCCACCCAGCCCCAAUAUUGGGCAGUUCCCAAAGUCCACACUGCAGAGAAGCCCUUCAAGUGCAGCAACUGGGGGACAGACUUCCUGAAGAGCUCCACCCUCCUUAGCCACCUGACUCACCCAGAAGAGAGGCUAUGUAGAUGUCCACCAAAUAGAGAUGUCUGCAAGGAGAAAUCAGUGCUUGUUAGUCACCAGAAAAUUCACACUAGAGAAAUAUCCUGUGUAAGUCAGGAGAGUAGGAAGACCUUCAGCCACACCUGUAAACUGAAAAAGCAUCACAAAAUUCACUCUGGGAAAAGGCCUUACAAGUGCAUGGAGUGCAGAAAAGCUUUCUGCCAAAGUUAUACUCUAAAUCAGCAGCAGAAAGUUCAAGCUGGUGGAAGGCCCUGAGUGUAGCAAAUGUGGGAAAGCCUUUGGUCACAUGUCUAACCUUAGGAAGGCUGGAGAUUUGUGACAUUUAAGGUGCCAAAGGAGAAGGAGCAUGCAAACUUGCCUGUCAACCUGUCCAUAUAAGGAGCCAAAAGGGAAAGAGAAGAUGAGGUUUAGAAAGAAGUCAGCAGUCAAGCAUCAGAAAUGGAGUCAGACUCUUUAUUUUUUUUUUAUUUUUUACUUUUUCACAUACAGAUGUUCAUGGAUAAAUUAUCUUAAAAAUGGAAAAACAAUCCAAAAUUAAGGAAUGAUUGAAUAAAUGAUAACAAAUAUUACGGGAUAUUGUACAGUUAUCAAAAGUUACGUUCACAAAGAGUUUCAAGGCAAAUGACUAAAUGAUGAAAAUAUGUAAUAAUUAUGAAACUAUCAAAUGGUCCAUUAAAAAUUACAGUAAAAAGACUAGGAGGAAUAUGCUAAUGGUUAAGAGUGAACAUGUUCAUUGGGUAAGAAAUUCGAGAAGGCUGGGGCGCCUGGGUGGUUCAGUUGGUUGGGCAUCUGCCUUCGGCUCAGGUCGUGAUCCCAGGAUCCUGGGAUCGAGCCCCGCAUCGGGCUCCCUGCUCAGCAGGAAGCUUGCUUCUCCCUCUCGCACUCCCCCUGCUUGUGUUCCCUCUCUCGCUGUGUCUCUCUAGGAACAAUAAGCCCUUGCCAAGUGAAUAAAUUAGCUUCAUCAACCUGGAUGUUACGGAAGUUUUUCAUUCCACAUUUGCGGAUUUCUUCAAGCUCCUUCAUCAGCCUCCUGCUGGCCGCCAUCUUGGAUCUGGUGCUGCUCGAGUCAGACUCUUUAAUGCAGCAGGAAAGCCUCUGUUGUCUGGUUGUGUUGUGUCUGUGAUCUACCAGGAUUUGGACAAGCAGGAUCUGUGACGCCUGGACUGUGCUGCAGUCAUGCCUGUGUUGCUCAGGAAAGUCUGAAACUGAGCUCCCCUGGAGGGAAUCCCACUUGUCCUGAGCUGGUGUGGGGUUUCAUAUCUAUCAUCCAUGAUUGUGUUAGGCAUGGACACAUGUCAGCUCUGGACAAGGAGACCUGAGGAGUCUCUGGAGGGAUUCUGGGGAAAGUUUCCUUUCUUCAUAGAUGUCAACUCCGUGUGUAGUACCGUGAUGAAUUUCAUGAUCCCCUGAGUUAACAUUCAAACCAACUUUCCUUUUUCCUUCCUCUUCCUUUCUUUCUCUUCUCUUCUUUUUUCUUUCUAGUAGACUCCAUGCCUAGUGUGGAGCCCAAUGUGGGGCUUGAACUUAGGACCCUGAGAUCAAAACCUGAACUGAGAUCAAGAGUCAGAGGCUUUUUUUUUUUUUUUUUAAGAUUUUAUUUAUUUAUUUGACAGAGACAACAGCGAGAGAGGGAACACAAGCAGGGGGAGUGGGAGAGGGAGAAGUAGGCUCCCCACUGAGCAGGAAGCCUGAUGCAGGGCUCGAUCCCAGGACCCUGGGAUCAUGACCUGAGCCGAAGGCAGAUGCUUAACGACUGAGCCACCCAGGCACCCCCAAACCAGCUUUCUCAGACUACUCUUGACUGAUAAUAAAUGCCUUAUUUUUAAUUUUUUAAAAUAUUUAUUUGUUUGUCAGCACAAGCAGGGGAGAACGGCAGGCAAAGGGCGAAGCAGGGUCCCUGCUGAGGAAGGAACACACUGCGGGACUCAAUCCCAGGACCCUGGGAUCAUGACCUGAGCCAAAGGCAGACGCUUAAAGGACUGAGCCAUCCAGCCGUCCCAUAAAUGCCUUAUUUUUAAAAAUCAUUUUAAAUCUCCAUUGCUCGGGUGCCUGGCUGGCUCAGUUAGUAGAGAAUGUAACUCUUGAUCUUGGAGUUGUGAGUUCAAGCUCCACACUGGAUAUAGAGAUGACUUAAAAAAUAAAAUCUCUAUUGCUUUAUUUAUCAUGAGGAAGAGGCUGAGAUAUUGAGAUCUGCCAACAUGAAAAUGAGCAAGUGUUGUUGGGGGUCCCCGUAACAUCUGCCUCAGGGGGAACUGCGGAUUGCAGUGCAUGCCUCUCCAGUUGUGACAUUAUUGUAUUACUGCCCCUAGGCCUCCUAUAUGAAGAGCACUACAAGCUAAAACUUGUGACCUUAGGUCAGAGUGACUUAGGAACCUGGAGCUCUUUGUGAGAAAGGGGGUAGUUGAUCCAUUGUCAGAAAUGAGAAAGAAGUGGGUUCCUUGUUAGAGCAUUUCUCAUUUCCCCAGAAGUGUUGAGAAGCUGACUUCUGGGACAUGACCAGGACCCAUAACCCUGGGAGGCUGGACCCCUAUGUGCAGGUAUCACAAUAUAAGACCUGCAUGGGCCAGGUGCUGAGAUAUGUGAAUAAAGAAACACCAUGAAGGGGCGCCUGGGUGGCUCAGUCAGUUAAGCAUCUGCCUUCAGCUCAGAUCAUGAUCCUGGGAUCAAGCCCCACAUCGGACUCCCUGCUCAGUGGGGAGUAUGCUUCUCCCUCUCCCUGUGCCCCAAGCUUGUGCUCUCUCUCUCUUUCUCUCAAAUAAAGAAAUAAAUAAUCUUUUUUUUUUUUUAAGAUUUUAUUUAUUUAUUUGACAGAGAGAUAGCGAGAGCAGGAACACAAGCAGGGGGAGUGGGAGAGGGAGAAGCAGGCUUCCCGCCGAGCAGGGAGCCCGAUGCGGGACUCGAUCCCAGGACCCUGGGAUUAUGACCUGAGCCGAAGGCAGACGCUUAACGACUGAGCCACCCAGGUGCCCAGAAAUAAAUAAUCUUUUUAAAAAGGGGGGCACCAUGAAGUUACAGAGAGAUGAGGGUCCCUGAAAAACUAGAGGGGACAUAGUCUGUUUAACGGGACUCACCUGGGGCGCCUGGGUGGCUCAGUCGGUUAAGCGUCUGCCUUCAGCUCAGGUCAUGACCCCGGGGUCCUGGGAUCGAGUCCGACAUUGGGCUCCCUUCUCGGUGGGAAGCCUGCUUCUCCCUCUCCCACUCCCCUUGCUUGUGUUCCCUCUCUUGCUGUCUCUCUCUCUCAAAUAAAUCAAUAAAAUCUUUAAAAAAAAAUAAAGGGACUCACCUGCUCCAUUGUCUAUGGUCAUGCUGCAUGGGGUGUGCAGAGCUUCCAGGACCUGUAGACCUGUGUAUAUAAAGAGGAAAGAACUGGGUUACCUGGCUGGCUUGGUCAGUAGAGCAUGUGACUCUUGAUACUGGGAUCGUGAGUUCAGGCCUCAUGUUGGACAUAGAGUGUACUUUAUGAAAGAAAAGAGAAGAGGAAAAAGAGAAAGAAAAGAAAAGAAAGAAAAAGAAAGGAAGAAAGAAAAAGAAAAAGGGAGGUAGGAAGGAAGGGAAAAAAAGGAGAGUGAGGAGGGAGGGAAAGAAGGAAAGAGGAAAUAACUAAAUUCCCAUUGCCUCCCUCAGUCUUCUGCUCAGUGGCCAUCACAAGGGCAGUAACUCUGGCCUGAGAGCACGGACCUAGUACUAGUAGCCACCGUUGCUUUCCAGCUCUACCUGGUACUGAGGUAGGUCUGGCCCUCCCAAUGUAUAGAGAAAGAGAGAAAUGGAUCAACACACAGUCGCUCUGUAUUCAGAUGUUCAAGAAAAGACAGAGGUAUGGGUUUUUAUGUAGAAUCUCCUGAUUUUAUAACUGCUGGCAUCAUUUAUGUCAAUACUGUUAAUUUACAUACAAUAAAAUUCUAAUUUUUUAAUUUUUUUAAAAAGAUUUAUUAUUUGAGAGAGCGAGGGGAGGAUGUGCUAAACAAGGUUCACAGCAGCCAUACUCCCAAUUUCAAAGGGGGAAAGCACUUUAUUGAUAUUAUAAAAAUCUAAUUGAAACAGAAAGAAGGGAAAUCUGCACAUAGAUGAGGGCAAUAGUAAGCAGUAAAGUAGAACAAGACAAAUUACAUCAAAUUGGGUACUUACAACAUCCAACCUCAUUAGCUGGGGAAGCCCCGUGGAGACAGCCAUGCCGGAGUUCCGACUGAGAGGCCUAAGCGGAGCGUCCUCCCCUCAGGUGAGACUUUCAACUGACCAUCCCAAUCGGCCAUAUUUACAGGGCAAAUGACGGGGUCUAAAGUUAAACAUGUGUUUGCCUAUGUGCAGUUUGAAGUGGGCUGCAUUUCUAUGUUACCAUGUCUUUACAUCUUCAGGGAGCCUGGGCCAUAUACUUGUCUCUCUUCCCAGAUUCCAUUCUGGGGGGCCAGCCCAGCCCGGAGCCAGAGGAGAUACAAGGCAAAAUUUAUAGCUCUUAGUGUCCAGGUCGGAAGGGCCAGUUCGGACCUGGAGGCCAGCUAAUGUCAACUACCCAGACUCCCGAGGUUACUCAUGCAGCACAAGUCUCACAAACAACAUUCUUUAGCCUGCCUGUGUUUGUGCAAGUCAGGGUGGUGGGUUAUGCAGGACAAAUGAUAGAAACCUCCACCCAUACAAUAUAGAUGGGCAGAGGGAGAGGAAGAAUCUUCAGCAGACUCCCUGCUGAGCACAGAGCCCGAUGCAUGGCUGGAUCUCACAACCUUGAGUUCAUGACCUGAACUGAAAUCAAGAGUUGGAUGCUUAACGGAUUGAGCCACCCAGGCGCCCCAAAUGCUUCUAAUUUUUUUAAGUAAUCUCUACACCCAACAUGUGGCUCAAACUCAUGAUCAAGAUUCAGAUGCUCUUCCGACUAAGCCAGCCCAAUGCCCCAAAAUGCUCUUUUAAAUGUGUAAGUGAGUUUUACAAAUGUAUCCACCUAUGAAAUGGCCACAUUUAAAAUAUUGAACAUUCUCAUCACAUCUACAGUUCACUUUGUGCUACUUUCCACUCAGUCACCUCCAACCCAUGUGUCAGACAACUACUGAGGACUUGCUUUCUGCCAUCAUAGGUUAGUUUUGUCUUUUCUAGCACAUUAUAUAAAUGGAAUAAUUUAUACCAUAUGGACUGUUUUGUGUGGUCUUUCACUCACCAGAAUUUUGGGAGAUUCAUCAAUGUUAUAACAUAUACCAUUAUUUAUUACUGAGUAGUACCGCAUUGUAGGAAAUACAUGUUUAUUCCACUCACCAGUUGUUACCCAUCAGAGCUGUUUCCAACCUUAGCUAUUAUGAAUAAAGAUGCUAUGAACAUUUAUGUACCAGGAUUUUUUAAAGAGAUUUAAAAAAAUAUUUUUAAGUGAUCUCUAUACCCAGUGUGACCUCAAGUUGAAGAUUCACAUGCUCUGCGGACUGAGCCAGCCAGGUGCCCCUCAUGUACCAGAAUUUUGUGGUCACGUGCUUUCAUUUCCUGUGGAUAAAUCCCUAAAAGAAUUGCUGAGUUGUAGGAUAGGCAGACACUGAACCUCAUAAGACAAUGAGGGUAUGCCACAGCUUAAGAGGCUAGCUGCACCAGUCUA